rnacentral:rRNA from 1 species
UACGUAGGGGGCGAGCGUUGUCCGGAUUUACUGGGCGUAAAGCGCGUGUAGGCGGCUCGAUUAGUCUGCUGUGAAAGCUCCCCGCUUAACGAGGAGAGGGCGGUGGAUACUGUCGGACUUGAGGACGGUAGAGGGGGGUGGAAUUCCCGGUGUAGUGGUGAAAUGCGCAGAUAUCAGGAGGAACACCAGCGGCGAAGGCGGCGCUCUGGGCCGGUACUGACGCUGAGGAGCGAAAGCGUGGGUAGCAAACAGG